GUCCCAUGUACAUUUUACUUCAUAACUCUUUAUUAACAUACUGUUUGUAGAUUUUUUUUUACUGAUAUGUAAUAAUACGUAUCAGUAUUACCACCGUAGGUAUAGUGUCCGGUUGAGAUCGGGUUUUUUCGAGAGCGUCCAGUUUUUUUCGAGAGAUUAUGACUAAAAAUGUAAACAAACAGACAUGUUUUCCUGUAACACGUAAAAUAAAUGCUUAAACUAAAUUUACAAGAUCAAACAAGUUAAGUAAGUAUUUGUGAUGAAAGGAUGUUGCCAACCAUACAUACUUUGCAGUUAAAAAAGUUUGAUUUGGCC
rnacentral:lncRNA from 1 species